UCAGGUAUUCUCUUAACAUUCCUACAGCAAGUCAUUAGCAGAGUGUUAAAGUCUUUAAACUAAUAUUUUGGCUCCUAAACAUAUCUGUCUUGUUGUGUUUAUCAGACUGGCUACAGAUGAGAGUCUGUUCGACACAGCACCACCUGCUGAGCAACACCAUGAUCGAAGCAGAUACUGUGCCUACAGAAACCUGGACAUCUUCUCACCCUGUCUCUCUGAUGAUCACUUCGACUUCACCUCACUCUUCCCCUUCAGAGACGCCACAGACGAGUAUGCCCAGGGGUCAAUGUUCACUCAGCUAGGAUCCGAAUGAACUUCUUAUACUGGUGAAGUUCGUGUUAAAAUUCCUGUAGUGGACACUUUUAGCAGUUUUCUGUGAAAAAUGUUUGGUGUGUAGAAGUAGAGACAGGUAGGAAGUGAAGACAAAGUGUGCACUCCAUUCAUUCUGUCCAGUGUCUCAUCAAUGUGGACAUGAAGCGUUUUCCGUACUUCUUUUCAUAAGCUCACCUCUCCUCUGCUGAUGCCACAUUCCCGGGUGCUUCCGGGCUGACUCCUGGUGGUCUAAUGUCAGUCACUCGCUGCUACUGAACUCCACCAUGGGCUCGGCGUGUAGGGAACUUGUGGGCCAAAGGAUGGAGGAUGCAGUGGAUCUGUGUAUCCUGGAUCUGUAGAAUAAUGAUGUCCUGGAGUGUGGCACAGGGAGCGUCUGUCCUUUCUAGGAAAACAAAUGUGAGAGGAGGUGGCUGGAAGGCUGUGCGACUUCAGCGGGUAUGUCUAAGGACGGGGUUGGAGGUGGAGAUGGUGCUGCGAUAUCCUGAUCUGUGUAACGGGAAAGGGUGCUGUGUGAGUGGGGGUGUCAGUGUGAUUCAGGACACAGCCAUUACGACUGCAGCCUUGCCAUCGCCCAAGCCCGGAGCCUGGAGUAGUUUUAAUUAAAGCGGGACAGGACGACUUCUCACAGCUGGCACUCGAGACGGCAGGAGCGAUCAAAUGCUGCCAGAGGAUCAGAUGUUCUCCCUGUUCUCCUCAUCAGCACCUCUUCCUCUUUUCAGCUCCAAACACGCCUCUUAAUUACAGUCCUCUUCUCAUGCUGAUGUCUCACAUCCAUAAACCGGCUCCGAUCAGCGCUUGGCUCCAUCACCGGGGAUGCGGCAGAUGGUACAGGAUUUUAGGGUGUCUUCUUUUCGAUGAUUGCUAAUGUGAAUGUUUUUGAGCUGAAAUAAAACGCUGCUCGGCGUUAAUGUGUGACGUUCACACUAACCAGAACAGAACAUUAAAAGUACUGUUACAAUUUAAA